rnacentral:rRNA from 1 species
GGCUGUCGUCAGCUCGUGUCGUGAGAUUGUUGGGUUAAGUCCCGCAACGAGCGCAACCCUUGUCACUAGUUGCCAGCAUUUAGUUGGGCACUCUAGUGAGACUGCCGGUGACAACGGAGGAAGGUGGGGAUGACGUCAAGUCCUCAUGGCCCUUAUGGGUAGGGCUUCACACGUCAUACAAUGGUCGGUACAGAGGGUCGCGAACCCGCGAGGGGGAGCCAAUCCCAAAAAGCCGCUCUCAGUUCGGAUUGCAGGCUGCAACUCGCCUGCAUGAAGCCGGAAUCGCUAGUAAUCGCGGAUCAGCAUGCCGCGGUGAAUACGUUCCCGGGCCUU